AGAGUUUGAUCCUGGCUCAGGAUGAACGCUGGCGGCGUGCUUAACACAUGCAAGUCGAACGGACUCAUAUUGAAACCUAGUGAUGUAUGAGUUAGUGGCGGACGGGUGAGUAACGCGUGGAGAACCUGCCGUAUACUGGGGGAUAACACUUAGAAAUAGGUGCUAAUACCGCAUAAGCGCACAGCUUCGCAUGAAGCAGUGUGAAAAACUCUGGUGGUAUACGAUGGAUCCGCGUCUGAUUAGCUAGUUGGCGGGGUAAAGGCCCACCAAGGCGACGAUCAGUAGCCGGCCUGAGAGGGUGAACGGCCACAUUGGGACUGAGACACGGCCCAAACUCCUACGGGAGGCAGCAGUGGGGAAUAUUGCACAAUGGGGGAAACCCUGAUGCAGCGACGCCGCGUGAGUGAAGAAGUAUUUCGGUACGUAAAGCUCUAUCAGCAGGGAAGAAAAUGACGGUACCUGACUAAGAAGCCCCGGCUAACUACGUGCCAGCAGCCGCGGUAAUACGUAGGGGGCAAGCGUUAUCCGGAUUUACUGGGUGUAAAGGGAGCGUAGACGGCAGCGCAAGUCUGGAGUGAAAUCCCAUGGCUUAACCAUGGAACUGCUUUGGAAACUGUGCAGCUAGAGUGCAGGAGAGGUAGGCGGAAUUCCUAGUGUAGCGGUGAAAUGCGUAGAUAUUAGGAGGAACACCAGUGGCGAAGGCGGCUUACUGGACUGUAACUGACGUUGAGGCUCGAAAGCGUGGGGAGCAAACAGGAUUAGAUACCCUGGUAGUCCACGCUGUAAACGAUGAUUACUAGGUGUUGGGGGACCAAG
rnacentral:rRNA from 1 species